AAAAAAAUUCGACGAAAAAUUCCAAUAUUACUAUCGUAAUCCUGGACUAUACUUUUAUUAUCUGUAACAUUCAAAUAUAUGAUACGAAAAUUUACAGUUUUUAAAAGAUUUUUUACUAUUCACUAUCGUAAUUUCAUUAAGAGUUUAUUGUAAUCAAUUCAAUAAGAAAUAUUACAAUGUUACUAUCGUAAAUAGUAAAAGAAUAAAAAAUAAGAUUUAAUUAUACUAUUUAUUCUUUUAUUCUUCCUUUUAAUUUACAGUGCUGCCUCUAUGUUUUUACAAUACAAGCUACAAAAAUUACGAUAGUUGGAUUGUAAAUUUUCUGAAAUGGUAUAGUAUAUGCCAUCUGAAGCGUUUACGUAUGAAAGACAAGUGUUGUCACAAACCAUGAUGUGAUGCUUGUAUGAGUGUAUAUAUAUAUAUAAAUACAAAUGAUGACAUCUACUUUGUCUGUAUUAUUUGUGGUUCAACUAUAUAUAUUUAUAAAUCAGUUCAUCUUUAUCCACAGUGUAGUGCAGAAAUAGAGGUUAUUAUUCAUGACGUUUUUCGGACAAUUGUAAAUAAGAAAUUUAAAAUAAAAACUGUACUUUCGUCAUUACAAACCUACAUAGAUUGUGGAAUAUAAUAAUUUGGUGGUGAUAAUCUUCAUUUGUCGACAAUGAAUAAUUUUACCCGGCUUUGCGAGAGGUAAAACAUUUCAAUAACCUCAAAUUAUGGACAUUCAACAUUUCUUUAUGAGACUGAAGUUAGCAGACGCCUAAUAAUUUUUGGAUUUUUUUAAAAAUGAUAAAUUAUAGAAAAAAAGUAUUCGAAAAAAUUGCACCUAUGGUUUUUUUAAUUUUCUACAUGUGCGUAUUUUGAAUACAAAUAAAUGAGUUAUUUAUUCAUAAAUUUUAUAUAUACCAAAAAAAUAUGUUUGAAAAAAUAUUAAAUAAAUGUUUUAUUAUUACUACUUCAA